CGCGGCCUAUCAGCUUGUUGGUGGGGUGAUGGCCUACCAAGGCGACGACGGGUAGCCGGCCUGAGAGGGCGACCGGCCACACUGGGACUGAGACACGGCCCAGACUCCUACGGGAGGCAGCAGUGGGGAAUCUUGCGCAAUGGGCGAAAGCCUGACGCAGCGACGCCGCGUGAGGGAUGACGGCCUUCGGGUUGUAAACCUCUUUCAGCCCUGACGAAGCGAAAGUGACGGUAGGGGCAGAAGAAGCACCGGCCAACUACGUGCCAGCAGCCGCGGUAAUACGUAGGGUGCAAGCGUUGUCCGGAAUUAUUGGGCGUAAAGAGCUCGUAGGUGGCCUGUCGCGUCGGCUGUGAAAACUCGGGGCUCAACUCCGAGCUUGCAGUCGAUACGGGCAGGCUAGAGUGCGGCAGGGGAGACUGGAAUUCCUGGUGUAGCGGUGAAAUGCGCAGAUAUCAGGAGGAACACCGGUGGCGAAGGCGGGUCUCUGGGCCGAUACUGACACUGAGGAGCGAAAGCGUGGGGAGCGAACAGGAUUAGAUACCCUGGUAGUCCACGCCGUAAACGUUGGGCGCUAGGUGUGGGAUCCCUUCCACGGGUUCCGUGCCGCAGCUAACGCAUUAAGCGCCCCGCCUGGGGAGUACGG
rnacentral:rRNA from 1 species